rnacentral:rRNA from 1 species
UACAUGGGGUGCAAACGUUGCUCGGAAUUAUUGGGCGUAAAGCGCACGUAGGCGGUUCGUUAUGUCGGAUGUGAAAGCCCUUGGCUUAACCGAGGAAGUGCAUCCGAAACUGGCGAGCUAGAGUACUAAAGAGGAUCGCGGAAUUCCCGGUGUAGAGGUGGAAUUCGUAGAUAUCGGGAGGAACACCGGUGGCGAAGGCGGCGAUCUGGGUAGAUACUGACGCUGAGGUGCGAAAGCGUGGGGAGCAAACAGG